UACGGGGGGGGCAAGCGUUGUUCGGAAUUACUGGGCGUAAAGGGCUCGUAGGCGGCCAACUAAGUCAGACGUGAAAUCCCUCGGCUUAACCGGGGAACUGCGUCUGAUACUGGAUGGCUUGAGUUUGGGAGAGGGAUGCGGAAUUCCAGGUGUAGCGGUGAAAUGCGUAGAUAUCCGGAGGAACACCAGUGGCGAAAGCGGCCACCUGGACUGUACCUGACGCUCAAACGCGAAAGCUAGGGGAGCGAACGGG
rnacentral:rRNA from 1 species